rnacentral:rRNA from 1 species
AUUGAACGCUGGCGGAAUGCUUUACACAUGCAAGUCGAACGGCAGCACGGGGGCAACCCUGGUGGCGAGUGGCGAACGGGUGAGUAAUACAUCGGAACGUGCCCAGUCGUGGGGGAUAACGUAGCGAAAGUUACGCUAAUACCGCAUACGAUCUAUGGAUGAAAGCGGGGGACCGUAAGGCCUCGCGCGAUUGGAGCGGCCGAUGUCAGAUUAGGUAGUUGGUGGGGUAAAGGCUCACCAAGCCGACGAUCUGUAGCUGGUCUGAGAGGACGACCAGCCACACUGGGACUGAGACACGGCCCAGACUCCUACGGGAGGCAGCAGUGGGGAAUUUUGGACAAUGGGCGCAAGCCUGAUCCAGCCAUUCCGCGUGCAGGAUGAAGGCCUUCGGGUUGUAAACUGCUUUUGUACGGAACGAAAAGGCUCUGGUUAAUACCUGGGGCUCAUGACGGUACCGUAAGAAUAAGCACCGGCUAACUACGUGCCAGCCGCCGCAGUAAUAC